rnacentral:tRNA from 1 species
GGCUAGAUGCCGGUGAUAUUAUUAGAGGUCAACGGAUUGCAAAUCCGUGUACACCGGUUCGAUACCGGUACUCGCCUCCA